UUUGGUGGUAGCGUCUUUCUGGUGCAUUUGUUAAGUGUUCAAAUGGGCCUGACUCUGCCACGUACAUUAUGCAGGAGCUGGCAAAGGCUUAGAGAUAAAGUGGUCUCUCUUGAGUGUUUCCUAAUGACAACUUGGCUCCUAUAUAU
ensembl:snoRNA